rnacentral:rRNA from 1 species
GAUUUUCGCAAUGCCCGAAAGGGUGACGAAGCGACGCCGCGUGCGGGAAGAAGGCCUUCGGGUUGUAAACCGCUGUCGGGAGUUAAGAAAUGUAAGGAUGUUAAUAGCAUCUUUGCUUGACUAAGGCUCCGGAGGAAGCCACGGCUAACUCUGUGCCAGCAGCCGCGGUAAUACGGAGGCGGCAAGCGUUGUUCGGAAUUAUUGGGCGUAAAGAGCACGUAGGCGGCAUUGCAAGUCAGCUGUGAAAUCCUUUCGCUUAACGAAAGAACAGCGGCUGAUACUACAAAGCUAGAGUGCGGAAGGGGAGAGUGGAACUUCUGGUGGAGCGGUGAAAUGCGUAGAUAUCAGAAGGAACGCCGGCGGCGAAAGCGGCUCUCUGGCCCAUAACUGACGCUGAGUGUGCGAAAGCUAGGGGAGCAAACGGGAUUAGAUACCCCGGUAGUCCUAGCCGUAAACGAUGGGCACUAAGUAGAGGGGUUUUAAUC